AGUAUUUGGCUAUGGAUGUUUAGGUAAUGAAUUGGAAAUUUGUUGUAAGUAUGCCUUCCAUAGUUCAUGAAUAUUGGUUCAAUUGGGCUUUAGAAUUCCUAGGAAAUGGUCGGAAUUGUUUUGUUGAUCUUUUUGAUGGCAUACCCUAAAUCUGAUAUGCAAAAGGUCCUUAUGCAAUGCCUUGAUUGGAGCAGCUUGUGAUACUCGCAUUUAUUCUGAUUAACACGAUCAUCCGCAUGAUGCAGUCCUUCUUUCGGCUUAUCAGAAAUCAGUGAAGCUGACUUAGAGAGAUGAACUGUGCCUCGUGUACUUUGGAGUAUAGCCGACCAUAAUGCGGUUCAUUACUCGGGAAGCACGAAAUUCUGUAGCAAUAAACAUCCACAAGUGUUUCAUCAGGUGCAGGUUUUGACUUCUAAAUAUUUUCCAUUACGAGUAUGAGACCCUGUCAAACACAAUAUCCACAACUGACUACUGUGAGCCGCAGACCACCAUUGAGUAUGUAUUUAACACUUGGUUGUCUUUGGUAGCAGGGUUGUUGUUUCAAAAAUGAUACACUUGCUUUUGAGUUGAUACGCAGAUGUUGACCUUGUCAUUACCGCAGGGCAUUGAUGGGGGUUGGUUGAUUCCUGCAGGUCUGCGUGAAUCGCUUGAUAUUCUACAUAUCUGAGGCGUGGCAGUGUGACCUUCGUGGCUCGGCAAGUCAAUACGCGAUUGAUCCAAUACCAACUAUGCUUUUUGGUUUGCUAUAAACAAUUCAAAUUAUAUUUGCACCUUCUUUGGUUAGAGUCCAGUUUGAAACUCCCUUUCAUACUCUCCAUUCAUGUUAUGGUAUAUAACAGUACUGUUUGAAAAUGUGCGAUUGGUUCCAGUCACCUUGUAAUGCCAAAGACUUGGUUUUCUUUGCAGGUUAUAUGCACGUUGGUUCGACACAAACGAGGAGAUAAUUGGUAAGUGACUUGCAUACUUGGAAAUGGCUCCAAUGCAAUAUUGACAUCGCUAAUACGUAUCGUUGAUUUUUAAUCAUGUGCACAUGUUGCUUUUGCAGGUUGCACUUUUGGUCGUCUUGCUGAUAUGAAGCAGCUUGAAGUUUGGUUUUUGGACGUCAUGAACUGUUUGUUGAAUUACCUUGUUGUAAAUAAAGCUUGGCUGCUUUCUGCUAUCUUGGACGAGAGUAUCUGAUCUUGAAGCCAACAAUUUCUGGAUAUGAUCCAUGGCUGCAAAUUUAAAACCAAAUAUAUUCUUUCCAAACUUUGACUCGUUCAUAGAUAAUGUCACCGAAAGUCGUUAAAACAGGUCCAGCAGCUGGUGUUGCAAGCCACUGAAUGUAAUGUGGUCGGUUAUUCGCGGCUGCCCCUUUAGUUUAGAAGUUUAAUUCUUUCACUUGGCUUGACUGUAAUGUAAUUUAGAAACUAGGACUGCUUAUGAUCGUCUGUAUGAUGUGUUUCCAAUAAUGACACUUAAAACAAGUAUGUAUGUUACACCCAGAAUUUUGUUCAGAUAAUGUGAUUCCAAACCGAUACUCUUAACCCAUACAAUGUUGUAUUCUUAAAUCCAUGGAAAGAGCGGCUUGCUCCUUGUUUGUUCACUCUGCCCGUGCUUUGGCAACUUUCUUGUAGAUUAUGUACUCAUGGAAAUAGACAAAAGUGAC
rnacentral:lncRNA from 1 species